rnacentral:rRNA from 1 species
GACGAACGCUGGCGGCGUGCUUAACACAUGCAAGUCGAGCGGUAAGGCCCUUUCGGGGGUACACGAGCGGCGAACGGGUGAGUAACACGUGGGUGACCUGCCCUCAGCUCUGGGAGUAAGCCUGGGAAACUGGGUCUAAUACUGGAUAUGACUCCACGGUGCAUGUCGUGGGGUGGAAAGCCUUGUGCGGCUGAGGAUGGGCCCGCGGCCUAUCAGCUUGUUGGUGGGGUGAGGGCCUACCAAGGCGACGACGGGUAGCCGGCCUGAGAGGGCGACCGGCCAUACUGGGACUGAGACACGGCCCAGACUCCUACGGGAGGCAGCAGUGGGGAAUCUUGCGCAAUGGGCGAAAGCCUGACGCAGCGACG